ACAUCGGCAGCGCCUUCCUGCCCGGUUACGUUUUCAGAGGAAAGGUGGGAAUCACAGACGGGUACCCAUACGGCAGCUGCCGGAGCGGGACCUGGGCCUGCGGGAGGGAACCCGCGAAGCCCCAUUUGCCGGGUUCAGACAGCGCCCACGAACACGUGCUCAGUGCACAGCUGCCCUUCCCAGCCCCGGAGUCCUCGCCCGCCGACUGUUCGGCGCUGCCCACGGCCCGCAGCACAGCCGUGGGGCCCUGGGUCCCGCAGACCGGGCAGCAGUCCUCACAGGCACGAGGCGCUCCGGAGACGUCCGACCCCGGGAAAGAACAAACGCACGUUUCUAUGUUUAAAUUACCCGCUUCGGGAAAAACUGCACAGAAACUGUUCAUCGGUUUCCUUGUUUGCUUGCGCUUUCCGUACAGUGAGUGAUGAUGAGCCCAUAGGCAAAAGGGACAGCUGUGAGAAGGAAAAUCCAACCGUGCCCAGAGGUCGAGGCGCCCGGCGCGAUCUCCCACACUCCACCACCCCGCGCACCCCGGGACUCCGGCGCUCGGCUCGCCCUUCUGCCCGACGCCCUUCCCUGUGUAGCCACCUGCACUUCUGCACACAGGUGACCAACGCGAGGAGCUCUUCUCCGGGCACGUCUUCCCUGACGCUACCUUUCUUCGCAGCGUUUGUCAGCAAGACAGCAUUCCUGCCUGAGGUGCGAGUUCCGCCCCGGGAGGGAAGCCCCGGCCUCCUGUUCCCCGCGCCGCGCAGCUCCGUGUGCUGCAGCCUGGUGCGUGGCUCCGGAUCACAGCGGGACGACGGGCCCGACACCAGGUGUUCUCCACUGCUUCCAGGUUCACGUGUACACCAUGGGAAAGGAAUUAGCAAUCAUGGAGACUACCAGAAAGUGAUCUGGAAAGAAUAAGCAAGGGUAUUUCUCGAAGAUUCAAACUUGCAAUAGAUGACCCCACCCGCCCCUUGCAUACCCGUGACACUUUCCAGCUGCCUUCAUCUGCUUCUCCCCUGGCGGAUUGCCAGACACCGACUAUUAACAACCUCCCUUGAGUUUGGCUGCCAGUGGAUUUAGCCAAAGAGCAGUUCCAUAGGACACUGGAGUCAGGAAGAACAAAGGCAUCAGCUGCCUGGGACCCUGGUCCUGCCCUGCAGAAGCUCAUGCUGUAAGACUCUCUCCUUCACAUUCUGGAACUGCUACCAUUAGUUGCCCCUUUCAGACAAAUAAUGACAGCUUUUAUAAAUAGUCCAUAUCUGUGAAAAUAAUUACUUUGUUAAACUCUCUUCAAAUUCCUUAUUUUGAAUACAAAUCUGGAAGAGUUUUAAAACUCUACCUUUCACUUCUACAGCAAAGGACUAGUAAUCUAUUCCUUGCUUUAGCCACUUUUUCCAUGUAAAUGUCCUACAUUCACUCCCACAAUUCAAGCAUUUCCACAAAUGUGUAUUUGAUUCUUCCUGUGUGUGUGUGUGUGUAUAUAUCUUCCAAAUGUAACUCUAAUUUAUUACCUACUUUCUUCUAUCCCUAUGAUAUCCCAUAUUCCAAAUAAAUUGCAUUUUUAUUAAAAUAGUCAUACUCAACUAUCCUUGCUUGUAACUAAUUUUUACCGGUGUUUA
rnacentral:lncRNA from 1 species